GAAGAAUUGGACACCACAGGUACUGCGUACAAAAGCGAGCGUGGGAUAAUCCGCAGAUGAUGGCGACGAAAUGUUGGCUGUGCUGAGGUUCACUCCACGGGAGAAUUGUCUCAAAUUGAGGGGAGGGGCUUCAUGCCUAUAACAUGAGGUCCGAAAAAAAAACGAAGUUCAAAAUUUGGAGGAGCAUCGCUUGCACUAUUCCAAAUUGGGAGGGGCGCGAAUUCAUGGCAAACAUGAAUUUUGAUUAGACUUAAUGGGGAAGAUUUGGGGGGGGGGGGG